CGCACCGUUGGCGGACGCAACGGCGUAAUGCGACACGUCAAAACCAAGUGGCUAGGUCAAUGCAUCUCAGUUAUGAUUUCAUUCAAAGAAUUUAAAAAUCUAGGAUUGUGAAUUGGAAGUGCAAACGGACGGAAAAGAAGACGCGAGAAACAAAUUGAAUGAAAUGAUACCAGUUGUUUGAGUGCAGACCACGUGCAGACUAUGCGGUAAUAAUGUUACGUGCCAGUCGGUAUCCACGGCGGCACCCUCUCUGCGCCCUACCUUACCAGCGUGCAGUUACCAUAAGAGAGUCUUACGUACUCUUACCAAUAGUCGUAGAUUGAUACCAACACACAUAGUUACCAUAGUAACGUCCAAAUUCAUAUAUCGAUAGUUCUCAUACGCUAGAUUAACCGUUAUUUCAUCAGUCAAAUUCAUAACAUAUAUGGUAUAUAUAUUUUUUCCCAUUUAACCGUUAUACCUUUCAACAUUAGCUUUCACAUAAAACCUUUGAUUUAUGAUCUCAACCGUAAUAACCCAAAGUAAUAAACACCUGCAAUAGAUAAUAGAGUAGACGAGACACCGGAAACGUGGGAAGAGAAAUCAUGGAUAGCUCACAGAGAAAGAAACCCUUGUUCUCAGAAUUUAGGAUAGCGCCUUCAUUUUAAUGACGAUAAGACCAAUUAGCGCUUCGCCGCUUGCUUCUCUAAACCAACCACCUCGCGCUAAUCCGCCACCCAGAUCUCAUGCACUAACCAGAAACCUUACCCCCAAUUAUUUCAUCAUCCUUAACCAAUCAUCUGAGACCCGCGAGAAACCGCCACUCCUUUUGAACUCCUCCUACUUUCCCUCCAAUUCAACCCUUCCAGAGAACAGAAUAGCAGAGAAGAACUUCAGACAUCAUAGAGAACACAGGAGAAGAUUCAGACAUCAUAGAGAGCAGA
rnacentral:lncRNA from 1 species